ACAAGCGAAAUGCUCUCUCUUCCCUCGAGGCUUCAACAUCAUCAGGAGUAUCUUGGACGACAGGAGCCACCUUGUUCGAUGAUAGACCAUUUCUGCACAGUUUCUUGCAUUGCAUACAACCCUAAGCGGCAAAACAGAUUUAUCAGAAGAGAGGACAAGGAGAGAUCAUUACCUUUGCUGGAAUAUUUGUGCGACAAAUGCCAAGAUCUGUAGUUUCUAUCAUGGUUGUUGAGCUAUGCUCCGGAGCAAGGGCGCUGAGAAGGUGACUGGAGGUUACCAAAAUCUCCUACCCAACAUCCUGUGUCACUCCCGAUGAAAACCCUUCUCCAUCUUGGAGUCGACAAUGGUGACGUGUAUCAUCGUUUCCCCUCCUGACAGAGCUGUCGUGGAACUUAGGUGUCCUAGGGUGUGUCAUGGCAUUGUAUUCAGGCCUACCUGUAUUAUCUUUCGGUAACGUAGUCGCGUGCGUUUAGGUUGUAUGGUUAUCCUGGGAUAUGCUAUGUAAGAGGGCUCUCUCACUACCUUGUAUUGUUGGCCGUGUACUUUGGUUUGUGCUUUAUCUAUAAAGUGGAUCUAGUUCAAACUUAAA